UUAUCCUUUAAUUAGGUCCAGAGAGGCCUCAAAGGUAGUACGUUUAAAUAGGCACGGAGUGGAUUGCUUUCCGUGAACGUAAACCCUUGGGUUCUCGAACCUAAGGGUUUAUUUUUU
rfam:Lactobacillus coleohominis DSM 14060 Scaffold114, whole genome shotgun sequence.